GAAAUGCGAUAAAUAAUGUGAAUUGCAGAAUUCCGUGAAUCAUCGAAUCUUUGAACGCAUCUUGCGCCUAUUAGUAUUCUAGUAGGCAUGCCUAUUCGAGCGUCGUUUCUAUAUUCAGCUAAUCUUUUAGUUGGUGUUAGAGGCUAGGGAUUAUUACUAGCUUCUUAAAUUUAAUAGCUAUUGUAUCUAGUGUUCUUCUACAAAGUAAAUCUUAUCUGUUUAAGAACACAUUUAUAUAAGCAUUAAUUAUUAUUAUUAUUAUUAGUUGACCUCGAAUUAGGUAGGAAUACCCGCUGAACUUAA
rnacentral:misc_RNA from 1 species